AUUGAACGCUGGCGGCAUGCCUUACACAUGCAAGUCGAACGGCAGCACGGGUGCUUGCACCUGGUGGCGAGUGGCGUACGGGUGAGUAAUACAUCGGAACAUGUCCUGUAGUGGGGGAUAGCCCGGCGAAAGCCGGAUUAAUACCGCAUACGAUCUACGGCUGAAAGCGGGGGACCCUCGGGCCUCGCGCUAUAGGGUUGGCCGAUGGCUGAUUAGCUAGUUGGUGGGGUAAAGGCCUACCAAGGCGACGAUCAGUAGCUGGUCUGAGAGGACGACCAGCCACACUGGGACUGAGACACGGCCCAGACUCCUACGGGAGGCAGCAGUGGGGAAUUUUGGACAAUGGGCGAAAGCCUGAUCCAGCAAUACCGCGUGUGUGAAGAAGGCCUUCGGGUUGUAAAGCACUUUUGUCCGGAAAGAAAUCCUUGGCCCUAAUACGGUCGGGGGAUGACGGUACCGGAAGAAUAAGCACCGGCUAACUACGUG
rnacentral:rRNA from 1 species